GAAGGGGGGGUGCUUACACAUGCAAGUCGAACGAUGAAGCCCUUCGGGGUGGAUUAGUGGCGAACGGGUGAGUAACACGUGGGCAAUCUGCCCUGCACUCUGGGACAAGCCCUGGAAACGGGGUCUAAUACCGGAUAACACCCGCCGAGGCAUCUCGGUGGGUUGAAAGCUCCGGCGGUGCAGGAUGAGCCCGCGGCCUAUCAGCUUGUUGGUGGGGUGAUGGCCUACCAAGGCGACGACGGGUAGCCGGCCUGAGAGGGCGACCGGCCACACUGGGACUGAGACACGGCCCAGACUCCUACGGCAGGCAGCAGUGGGGAAUAUUGCACAAUGGGCGAAAGCCUGAUGCAGCGACGCCGCGUGAGGGAUGACGGCCUUCGGGUUGUAAACCUCUUUCAGCAGGGAAGAAGCGAAAGUGACGGUACCUGCAGAAGAAGCGCCGGCUAACCUACGUGCCAGCAGCCGCGGUAAUACGUAGGGCGCAAGCGUUGUCCGGAAUUAUUGGGCGUAAAGAGCUCGUAGGCGGCUUGUCGCGUCGGAUGUGAAAGCUCGGGGCUUAACCCCGGGUCUGCAUUCGAUACGGGCAGGCUAGAGUGUGGUAGGGGAGAUCGGAAUUCCUGGUGUAGCGGUGAAAUGCGCAGAUAUCAGGAGGAACACCGGUGGCGAAGGCGGAUCUCUGGGCCAUUACUGACGCUGAGGAGCGAAAGCGUGGGGAGCGAACAGGAUUAGAUACCCUGGUAGUCCACGCCGUAAACGUUGGGAACUAGGUGUUGGCGACAUUCCACGUCGUCGGUGCCGCAGCUAACGCAUUAAGUUCCCCGCCUGGGGAGUACGGCCGCAAGGCUAAAACUCAAAGGAAUUGACGGGGGCCCGCACAAGCAGCGGAGCAUGUGGCUUAAUUCGACGCAACGCGAAGAACCUUUACCAAGGCUUGACAUAUACCGGAAACGGCCAGAGAUGGCCGCCCCCUUGUGGUCGGUAUACAGGUGGUGCAUGGCUGUCGUCAGCUCGUGUCGUGAGAUGUUGGGUUAAGUCCCGCAACGAGCGCAACCCUUGUUCUGUGUUGCCAGCAUGCCCUUCGGGGUGAUGGGGACUCACAGGAGACUGCCGGGGUCAACUCGGAGGAAGGUGGGGACGACGUCAAGUCAUCAUGCCCCUUAUGUCUUGGGCUGCACACGUGCUACAAUGGCCGGUACAAAGAGCUGCGAAGCCGUGAGGCGGAGCGAAUCUCAAAAAGCCGGUCUCAGUUCGGAUUGGGGUCUGCAACUCGACCCCAUGAAGUCGGAGUUGCUAGUAAUCGCAGAUCAGCAUUGCUGCGGUGAAUACGUUCCCGGGCCUUGUACACACCGCCCGUCACGUCACGAAAGUCGGUAACACCCGAAGCCGGUGGCCCAACCCCUUGUGGGAGGGAGCUUCGAAGGUGAACGGCGUG
rnacentral:rRNA from 1 species